AGCAGCCGCGGUAAUUCCAGCUCCAAUAGCGUAUAUUAAAGUUGUUGCAGUUAAAAAGCUCGUAGUUGAACUUCGGGGUUCACCCAUUGGUCAGGCUUAAUUGUCUGUACUGGUGAGAUGAGUCUCUACCUUCUGAGGAACUUUCAUGCCAUUUGUUUGGUGUGAUUGGAAAUCAGGACUGUUACUUUGAAAAAAUUAGAGUGUUUAAAGCAGGCUAACGUCUGAAUACAUUAGCAUGGAAUAAUGAAAUAGGACGGAUUGAUUCUAUUUCGUUGGUUUCUAGGGUCACCGUAAUGAUUAAUAGGGAUAGUUGGGGGCAUUAGCAUUCAAUUGUCAGAGGUGAAAUUCUUGGAUUUAUUGAAGACUAACUACUGCGAAAGCAUUUGCCAAGGAUGUUUUCAUUAAUCAAGAACGAAAGUUAGGGGAUCGAAGACGAUCAGAUACCGUCGUAGUCUUAACCAUAAACUAUGCCGACUAGGAAUCGGGCGAUGUUGACAAAAUGACGC
rnacentral:rRNA from 1 species